ensembl:lncRNA
CAGAGACAAUGUUGCAUCUGAGACCGUCUCUCCCUGUCCUCUAUAUGAAUUUUGAGUCUUUCAGAGUGGAAGACGCUGUAAUUGACAUUCACCAAGUCACCUGAAUGCAAUAAACACAGUGGAAAUCCCUUGGUUAUGUCUGUGCCUGAGAGCUGGAAGAACCUGGGCUCCAAACCCACUGAAGCUUUCCUGAAAAUACCACGUGCCCCCAUGAAUUACUUUCUUAGAGGACCAAACAAGAACUUACAAGAGAAGUGAAGACAUAUUCUUCAAACGUUUAAAAUGAGCUCUACACAUGGCAGAAGGCAUGUCUUGGAGGAUAAGAAACAAAGGACUAAAUAUAAAAUGACAGAAUAGCUUAGGUUGGAAAGGUCCUUAGAGAUCAUCUGUUUCCAACUACGCUGCUGUGGGUAGGGAAAAUUUCCGCUAGAUCUCAUUGCUCAAAGCCACAUCCAACCUGGCCUUGAAAUAUGCAAAGUGUUGUGUCUAUGCCUCAUGGAAGGUGCUGUCUUCAAGAUCCUCUAGAUUGGAACAAAGUACUACACUGAAGAGUUGUAAGACAGGAGCUUCAUGCUGAAAAACCACACUCAUAUGUGAUGUCUACUACCAUGCUGGAAAAUAUCUGUUGAAAUGUCACAGGCUUGUAACCCUGUGAGGUGGAGAUAAACAAACCAUCUGAAACAUCAUCCAGGCUCUACACUAGACUCAGC